GCGAUCGGUCCGGUCGGUGGCUCCCCGCGGCGGGGCCGGGCCCGAUCUCGGGCGGGAACCGAGCGCAGAGCCGGUAGCGGGAAGGAUGACCACGCUCACACGACAAGACCUCAACUUUGGCCAAGUGGUGGCCGAUGUACUCUGCGAGUUCCUGGAGGUGGCUGUGCAUCUCAUCCUGUACGUGCGCGAGGUCUACCCCGUGGGCAUCUUCCAGAAACGCAAGAAGUACAACGUGCCGGUCCAGAUGUCCUGCCACCCGGAGCUGAAUCAGUAUAUCCAGGACACGCUGCACUGCGUCAAGCCACUCCUGGAGAAGAAUGAUGUGGAGAAAGUGGUGGUGGUGAUUUUGGAUAAAGAGCACCGCCCAGUGGAGAAAUUCGUCUUUGAGAUCACCCAGCCUCCACUGCUGUCCAUCAGCUCAGACUCGCUGCUGUCUCAUGUGGAGCAGCUGCUCCGGGCCUUCAUCCUGAAGAUCAGUGUGUGCGAUGCCGUCCUGGACCACAACCCUCCAGGUGUGUCCACUCCCCACCCUCUCUUCCCUUGGCGUUUCCAUGGUUAUCUCGGGUUGGGCUGUGUUCCCAGGUCCAUGUUUGGCUGUUCUGAGACUCAUCUCUUCCUAACCCUGAGAGUCCACCUCCUCUGGGAAGCUUCCCUGAUUGAUUCUACCUGGCUUCCAUCUCCCUAUUGACUGGGGCUUUUCUUAGCACUUGCUUUGCCAUCUGCUCUGGGGGUGCUGCUGAGCCAGCAAGGGAAGUGGGAAGAGGCUGGGCCCAGUGGCUGGCACCAGGGCGGUGGGGGAGCCUCCACCAACCUCUUGCCUCUCCAGGCUGUACCUUCACAGUCCUGGUGCACACGAGA
rnacentral:sRNA from 1 species